rnacentral:rRNA from 1 species
GAUGAACGCUGGCGGCGUGCCUAAUACAUGCAAGUCGAGCGAACAGAUGAGGAGCUUGCUCCUCUGACGUUAGCGGCUGACGGGUGAGUAACACGUGGAUAACCUACCUAUAAGACUGGGAUAACUUCGGGAAACCGGAGCUAAUACCGGAUAAUAUAUUGAACCGCAUGGUUCAAUAGUGAAAUACGGUUUUGCUGUCACUUAUAGAUGGAUCCGCGCCGCAUUAGCUAGUUGGUAAGGUAACGGCUUACCAAGGCAACGAUGCGUAGCCGACCUGAGAGGGUGAUCGGCCACACUGGAACUGAGACACGGUCCAGACUCCUACGGGAGGCAGCAGUAGGGAAUCUUCCGCAAUGGGCGAAAGCCUGACGGAGCAACGCCGCGUGAGUGAUGAAGGUCUUCGGAUCGUAAAACUCUGUUAUUAGGGAAGAACAAAUGUGUAAGUAACUAUGCACGUCUUGACGGUACCUAAUCAGAAAGCCACGGCUAACUACGUG